AAGUCGUAACAAGGUUUCCGUAGGUGAACCUGCGGAAGGAUCAUUACCGUAGGGGCUUAACCCCCCUUCGAGAUAGCACCCUUGACUUUUCAAGCACCUUCUGUUUCCUCGGCGGGCUCGCCCGCCAGUGGACAACAACCAAAACCUUUUCUGUAUUAGCAGUACUCUGAUAAAACAACACAAAAAGUUAAAACUUUCAACAACGGAUCUCUUGGUUCUGGCAUCGAUGAAGAACGCAGCGAAAUGCGAUAAGUAGUGUGAAUUGCAGAAUUCAGUGAAUCAUCGAAUCUUUGAACGCACAUUGCGCCCUUUGGUAUUCCUUAGGGCAUGCCUGUUCGAGCGUCAUUUCAAACCUCAAGCCCCGCUUGGUGUUGGGCGUUUGUCCCCCUAUGGGGACUCGCCUCAAAUGCAUUGGCAGCCGGUACGUUGGCUUCGAGCGCAGCAGAAAAGCGCCUGGCGUCUGACGGUACCUUGGCUCUCCAGGAAGCCUCCACCCCAAUUUUGACCUCGGAUCAGGUAGGGAUACCCGCUGAACUUAA
rnacentral:rRNA from 1 species